GUUAAUUUGGCAGAUUUAAUGCAUUAAAUUUAGAAUUUAAAUAAGUAAAUAUUUUUACAUUUAAUA
rnacentral:tRNA from 1 species